ACGUCCUUUUUACCUUCUUCUGUAUUCAUAUAUUUGUGAAAGCUUGCAAAAGUUUCGUCACCGAGAUCAUUAAUAUUGUUUUUUUAGUUAGGUUAGCGCUGAUUCGAUUGAAGUGAGGGUUAUACGGAUCGUUGCUAUUCAAUUUGCAUAUGGAUAAGAUCUGUCAUCGGAAAAACCGAAUCUGUGUUAUAUGAGUCAGUGUGUUUCAAUGUCGGCUCAUCUUCGAGCUCCAGCGCCGCCAAAGUAGUUCAAUUCCGAGUCAGAAGCGCGCGUCUUUGUUCUUUACAUCUUUAUCGCAACCUCUCUACAUUGCUUUCAGCUGUCAAAUACGAUUGUCCAAUCUGUACUUUUAGUCAUCAAGAGUUUGAUAUAUGAAUUAUUUAUUUAUACAACGAUGGCGAAAGAAAGAUUCACAAUGCUUCUUUCGGAACCUGGAGAAAUAUUUUUUGAGGAUUAUAGUGUCCAGAUGAGAAGGCCAGAUGCUUCAUCUGAAGAAAAUAAAAAGUGGAUAGAUGGAAGACUGAAACUAUGUUCCAAAUCCCUGGUAUUUGUAAAUAAAGAUAUUAAUCAACCACUAAUCAAGAUUCAAUUUAAAGAGACUGUAUCUAUUGAGCAAUAUAUAUCCACUAAUGAAGUAGGUGAUAUAUUGUCUGUUGAAUGCAAGCAAUAUGUAGAAAUGUUGGAGAAAAAUAUAUUAGCACCAUACAGAUUUGUACAUCAGAAUAGUAUGUUCCAUUUUUGUUUUAAUUACACAAAAAUAGAAGAUUGCCUUCCACAAAUUUUGCAAUUGCACAGAGCGGCAAGUUUAGCAAAUGCAGAACAGAAUGCUAUGAUUAUGGCUAUUGUACACUCCAGGCAAUCAGGUGUAUCCUUUGACAUGUCAUGGCUCGAAGACUUGUAUGAGCAAGUGGUCCUAGAGACACAAGCAAAUCAAGUGUUACCACUUGUAAUAAAUCCUGGAAGAGUAUUAUUAACUACAGCCAGACUUUAUUUUCAGCCUUACAAUAAUACAGACCAGUAUCCUGUUCUCAAGAUACAACUGAAAGAUAUACAGAGUAUUAUAAAAAGGAGAUUCAUAUUACGACAAGUGGGUCUUGAGAUUAAGUGGAUACGACAGGUUGGUGGUAAAAUCGAAUAUCUAUUUCUGUCAUUCCAGAGUCAGGAAAAAAGAGACAGGUUAUAUGAAGAUUUGCUUAAGCAAUCGGCGGUUUCCUUAGAAACCGUACCUCAAAAUCAAAUGUUAUUAAGAUGGCGUAAUGGAUACUUAUCGAAUUACGAUUAUAUUUUAUAUAUAAACAGUUUAGCAGAUAGGACGUUUCAUGAUUUGACGCAAUAUCCAGUAUUUCCUUGGGUUAUACAGGAUUAUAUUUCCACGACAUUAAAUUUAAAUGAUACUAAUAUUUAUAGAGACUUGUCAAAACCUAUUGGUGCAUUAAAUCCUAUUCGUCUAGAAAGGCUAAAAGAACGAUAUUCGGAAAUGUCCGACCCAAAGUUUUUAUAUGGUUCUCAUUACAGUGCACCAGGCUUUGUAUUGUUUUACUUGGUACGAAAGUAUCCUCAGUAUAUGCUUUGUCUGCAAAAUGGAAGAUUUGAUCAUCCAGAUAGAAUGUUCAACAGUAUAGCUGACGUGUGGAAAAAUGUCUUGGUGAACAUGUCUGAUUUCAAAGAGCUGAUACCGGAGUUUUACGAUACAAGCAACGGUGGUGACUUUCUAGUUAACAGCUAUGGUAUCGACUUUGGUCAUCGACACGAUGGUGCCAAAAUAAACGAUGUACAGCUUCCACCUUGGGCAGAAAGUCCAUCUGACUUUAUAAAAAAAUUAAGAGACGCUUUAGAAAGUGAAUACGUUUCGCAAAAUCUUCAUCAUUGGAUCGAUUUAAUUUUUGGAUACAAACAAAGAGGAGUUGAAGCGGAAGAGGCUGACAAUGUAUUCUUCCAUUUAUGUUACGAAGGAGCAGUAGAUUUAGACACUGUACGAGAUAUAAAUGAUAGGCACGGACUCGAAGUGCAAAUCAUGGAGUUCGGUCAGAUACCAAAGCAAGUUUUCACUCUACCUCAUCCCCAACGAUCAACGUCGAUUGUAAAUUUAUCACGCAACGCAGCAUUAUUGUUAUCGCCAGAAAUAGCUAAUGAAGGCAGUGCAUGUGUAAAGGAAAAAUCAUUUAAUUUCACAGAAUUAGUAGCUUUUCAAGCGCACAAACACUGCGUUAGCAGUAUCGUGCAAAAGAAUAUAAACUCAUGUAACGAGAUCAUAUCAGUAGGGCAGGACGGAAUGCUUAAAUUGUAUAAUAUAAGCGAGAAGAAAGUAACACGUAGUGUUAAGUUGUCCUCGUUAUCUUUGUCGUCCUGCAUCUCAUAUUACACACCGUCGCAACGUAACAUUCUCGUAGCAGGAUCUUGGGACAAUACCUUAAUAUUUUACGAUAUAGAGUUCGGUAGAGUAAUCGAUAUCUUGCAAGGACAUGUGGAUGCAGUGUCGUGUCUAGCAUGGAGCUCCGCUCGUCAGGUCAUUAUAUCCGGAUCGUGGGAUUGCACCGCGAAAAUUUGGCGAGGAUAUAUCUCUGGCUCAAAGAUCAAACCCGCGGAGUGUUUUAUCGCACAAUUGGAUCACGAUUCCAAAGUAACUUGUAUCGAUAUAUCCAGAGACGAUGCUAUAUUGGUGUCUGGUACAGAAGAUGGCGAAUUAUGUUUGUGGAGCAUGGAUACUUAUGAUCUACAAUAUACUAUCAAAGGUCACACGUGUAAAGUAAACGCAGUAACGUUCGAUAAACAAUGCAGCAGUGUGAUAUCGUGUGCCGAAGACAAAAUAUUAAAUGUAACGGACGUUCGAACGAGCACGCAAAUAUAUUCCAUCAAUUUAGAGAACGAACCACUCACGGUAACGUGGAUGGGAGCAUUCCUGUUGAUAGGUGAUAAUGAUGGAAAUUUUAAUAUAUGGGACUAUCGUAAGACCGUGUUCAUCACGCAAGUACAUUGUCACGAUGGUAAAUAGUAUAUUAUUAUAAGUUAUCAGUUGUGAUCAGCUUAUCUUAUGGUAAUUGUGUUUCGCUCGUGCACGAGAUGUGAUCAAGAAGUUCGCAGGCUGCCCGCGAGAUAGCUCUUGCAAAAUAUACGAAAAAAAUAGCACGUGGUAUUAUUGGGAAAGAAAUUAUGGACGAGAGCGUGUAUCGAAUCAUGGAUCCAAUCGUUGGAUCCGAUCUGAAAGAACAACGUGUCUGUAUUAAGUUCUGCUUCCAACUUGGACAUAAUGCUUCGAGAACUCAUGAGAUGCUGAAAGAAGCUUUCGGACAACACGCGAUGAGCAGGACGCAGGUUUAUAUGUGGUUUUCGAGGUUUAAGAAUGGCGUGAUGUCUAUCGAGGACGCUAAACGGACAGGACGACCCGCAACGAUCAAGACAGACGCGAAUUUACAACGUGUUAAAGAAUUAAUUCUUAGCGAUAAUAAUCUUUCUGUUCGAGAGAUAUCGAACAAAUUGAACAUUUCACUUGGAUCAGUUCAAAGGAUCUUGAGUGAUCUGAACUUGCGAGCAGCGGAAAGACAUUCGAACGGACGCGCAUCGUCAAAAAAAGUUCGACUGAAAACUAAACCUUUACAAAGUGAUUAAUGACGAUAAAUCUAUAGCAUUAUGCGAAUUCGAAAUAAUAAUCGAGCCGACGCAAAAGCUCUUCGUUACAAUGGAACAAACAGAAUAGGUUGAGUCACCAUUUGAAAUAUAUGUUUGUAACGAUCCAAGAAUUGGGGAACUAGAUUUACUUUACAAAAAUAGAUAUAUCUAUAUCACAGUGUUUUUAGGAAAAGAUUUUAUAUCCAUGAGAUAAAGAAACAGUUUGAAAAUAGAUUUCUUGUAAUCUGGUUUUUUCAUUGCAUCCACUGGAUGGCUAUAAUUACCUGUAAAUUUAUCGCAAAAAACUAAAUGGUUCUUAUCCUACAUUCAACAUGUCUGUCAGUUUAACAAUUUUGCUUAAUUCUUCUGAAAGAGAAGAGAUUGGCACAGUUAUAGCAAUAUGCCAAUAAUUUAAAAUAAUUUAAAAAAGGACUGCAUAUUGGAUUUUAAAAGACUGAUUCUCAAAAUUAUUUUAAUAGAACACAAGUAUUUCAAUGGAAAGGAUAACGGGAUCAGUAUUUUACUUUGCAAGGAGAAUAACACACAUGAUGGUGAUCAUGCACAACAGAAUGGUCACUUUCAGCUCUAGCAGUAGCACCUGAUAGUAGCUUGGUAAUAACUGGUGGCAAAGACAAAAAAGUCAUUGUAUGGGAAUGCUACAAUCAAUGACACAGUAUUUCAAGUGAUCUAAUGUAUAAAGGAGAUUCUGUAUAAGGAGAGAAUAGAUCUAAACUCUCUUCUUAGCAAUGUACUAAUAAUUUUAUUACUUGUUUAUUACAAUAAAAUACCAGUUGUAUAUAGUAUA